rnacentral:rRNA from 1 species
UAUACAUGCAGUUGAGCGCUGAAGGUUGGUACUUGUACCGACUGGAUGAGCAGCGAACGGGUGAGUAACGCGUGGGGAAUCUGCCUUUGAGCGGGGGACAACAUUUGGAAACGAAUGCUAAUACCGCAUAAAAACUUUAAACACAAGUUUUAAGUUUGAAAGAUGCAAUUGCAUCACUCAAAGAUGAUCCCGCGUUGUAUUAGCUAGUUGGUGAGGUAAAGGCUCACCAAGGCGAUGAUACAUAGCCGACCUGAGAGGGUGAUCGGCCACAUUGGGACUGAGACACGGCCCAAACUCCUACGGGAGGCAGCAGUAGGGAAUCUUCGGCAAUGGACGAAAGUCUGACCGAGCAACGCCGCGUGAGUGAAGAAGGUUUUCGGAUCGUAAAACUCUGUUGGUAGAGAAGAACGUUGGUGAGAGUGGAAAGCUCAUCAAGUGACGGUAACUACCCAGAAAGGGACGGCUAACUACGUGCCAGCAGCCGCGGUAAUACGUAGGUCCCGAGCGUUGUCCGGAUUUAUUGGGCGUAAAGCGAGCGCAGGUGGUUUAUUAAGUCUGGUGUAAAAGGCAGUGGCUCAACCAUUGUAUGCAUUGGAAACUGGUAGACUUGAGUGCAGGAGAGGAGAGUGGAAUUCCAUGUGUAGCGGUGAAAUGCGUAGAUAUAUGGAGGAACACCGGUGGCGAAAGCGGCUCUCUGGCCUGUAACUGACACUGAGGCUCGAAAGCGUGGGGAGCAAACAGGAUUAGAUACCCUGGUAGUCCACGCCGUAAACGAUGAGUGCUAGAUGUAGGGAGCUAUAAGUUCUCUGUAUCGCAGCUAACGCAAUAAGCACUCCGCCUGGGGAGUACGACCGCAAGGUUGAAACUCAAGGAAUUGACGGGGGCCCGCACAAGCGGUGGAGCAUGUGGUUUAAUUCGAAGCAACGCGAAGAACCUUACCAGGUCUUGACAUACUCGUGCUAUUCCUAGAAGAUAGGAAGUUCCUUCGGGACACGGGAUACAGUGGUGCAUGUUGUCGUCAGCUCGUGUCGUGAGAAUGUGGGUAGUCCCGCACGAGCGCACCCUAUGUAGUGCAUCAUAGUGGGCACUCUAACGAACUGCGUGAUAACGAGAAGUGGGAUGACGUCAAUCACAUGCCCUUAGACUUGCU